AGUUGGCGAGGCGAUUGCGUAAACUUUGUUUAUGAGGAAAGUCCGAGCAGCGCAGGGCAGGAUGACGGCUAACGGCCGCCGAGGGUGACCUUAGGGAAAGUGCAACAGAAAUAUACCGCCGUUUACGGUAAGGUUGAAAAGGUGAGGUAAGAGCUCACCGAAGAGGUGGAGACAUCUCUUGCCAUGUAAACCCCAUCCGCUGCAACAUCGACCGAAGAGUUGUUUGCCCGACACAAAACUUCUACGGAUGGCUGGAGCGUUUCGGCAACGAAGCGUCGAGAUAGAUAAUCGCUUAAUACAGAACUCGGCUUAUUGCCA
rnacentral:RNase_P_RNA from 1 species